rnacentral:rRNA from 1 species
AUGGAGCACGGACGAGAUGAGCAAGCAGAAGAUGUGUUGGGGGACAUAAUCUUAGCCGGAGGUGAUAUCUUGUCGUAUCUUAACGACAAUGAUGGUCUGGAAGAACAAGGUGAAGAAGCAGGCUGCGGUGAUCGAAGAGUGGAGGAGGAAAGACAUGAUUAUGAUGGCUCCGGUGACCCAAUGCUGGUGCAAGAAGGAGCCCGUGGUGACGGCUCCGGCGACCGAACAGAGUCCGGCCAGCCCUCCGGAUCGAGCACAACUGCGGUAAAGAGACGAGGCCCGAAGAGAAAGUUGCGCUCGGAUGAAAGGUUUGAGAUCACAGCAAUCGCGGGCGACGGCCAACCGAUUGAACCCCUCCGGACAAAGGAUGCUUUUGCUGCUCAGUGCGGGGUUCUAGUUAGGGACAAGAUCCCGAUCAGCAUCCACCAAUGGUAUAAGCCUAAGAAGGAAGACCCUGAGGUGUCUUAUGUCAAUGAUAUGCAGAAAGAUGAUCUUUGGACUGAGCUGAAGGCAAAUUUCACCCUACCGCCAGAGGAGGAUCCAGAGAAGCCAGUUAUAGAGCAAUUAAUCAAGUCUCAUGCUCUGAAGAAGAUGGCAGACCUAUUCAGGAGGUGGAAGAAUGAGCUGAAAACUUUUGUCGACAAAGAAGAGACACCAGAAUUCGUCGGCCGGUAUGAGAAGAUCAGAGAUCACUGGCCCGCAUUUGUGGCCCACAAGACAUCGGAAAAGAGUAAGAAGAUGUCAGCGACAAACAAGCAGAAUGCUGCGAAGAAGAAGCUUCACCAUCGCACGGGGUCAGGUGGCUACCUCAAAGCCCGGCCUAAGUGGGCCAAGUCUGAGAGGGAUCUGCUUGAUAAAGGGAUCGAACCAGAGACAAUGAACUGGCCAGACCGUUGCCGGACUUGGUUCUUCGGGGCUGGCGGAACCUUGGACCCUGUAUCAGGGAGGUGUCGUUGGACGGACGAGCAACUUGCAAUACCCGUCAAGAAGCUUAAGCACUAUAUCGAUGCAGCGCAGCAAGGGACGUUCGUUCCAGACAGAGAGAACGACGAGCUCACAAUGGCCCUCGGGAAUCCUGAGCACCCUGGACGGACACGAGGCACGCCAGGCUCCGUUCCGUGGAAGGCUGGUUUUCCGGACGCAGGCGGUUACAAAACCCAGGAGAGGAGGAAAAAGGUGGAGCAGAUCCAAAUUCAGUGUCUGCACGAAAGGGUUCAAGUGCUAGAGGAACGAGACGGCAAUAGAGAUGCCGAAACUGCCCCUGAAGCUACACCACCAUCUCAGCGUAGAAGCAGCGUGGCUUCCACCGAGCUGCCUCAGCUGGAGCAUGCGGCUACUCCUAGCUACCCCGUGGAUGCUAUCACGGAGUCUCAACAUUGCCACCUUAUGGCGGAAUGGCAGAACUUGAAAGUCAAGGCGGCUGUUGGCUCUGUUUUACCUACUGAACCCGGCGCAACCUACCACUGCCGGCCGAUUCCAGAAGGAUAUGCUAGGGUGAUGGUGGAUGAAAUAACGGAGGGAUUUGAGGACCUCCAGCUUGACCACCCUACCGGUGAAGGGGAGACUCGGCUGGGUUUAGCUCUGAAGACUCCAUGCCUAUGGCGGAAGGAGCUCAUCAAGCUUCCGAACUGGACGGCUCCGGCGAGUAAGGGCACUCCGCCUCCUCCUCCGCAGGGCAGCCAGCCUCCUCCUUCUCCGGCGCGUGGCGGCACUCCGCCUCCUUCUCCGCCAGCGCCGGCGCGCCAGGGCAGCCAGCCUCCUCCUUCUCCGCCUCGUCAGCAAGGGCGGAAGAGACCCGCCACCGCUGCGGCUGCUCCGGCGCGUCGUAGUCCUUCUCCUCCGCCUCGUAAGCAAGGAAAGAAGACAGCGCAGCCGCUCCGUCUGCUCUGCCGGCGUCUAGCAGUACAGCUGCCAGAGGCGGGAGGCAAUACAGAUUCGGUCCUUCUCUGA